rnacentral:rRNA from 1 species
AUUGAACGCUGGCGGCAGGCCUAACACAUGCAAGUCGAACGAGUGGCGGACGGGUGAGUAAUGUCUGGGAAACUGCCCGAUGGAGGGGGAUAACUACUGGAAACAGUAGCUAAUACCGCAUACCAUCGGAUGUGCCCAGAUGGGAUUAGCUAGUCGGUGGGGUAACGGCUCACCUAGGCGACGAUCCCUAGCUGGUCCGAGAGGAUGACCAGCAACACGGGAACGGAGACACGGUCCAGACUCCUACGGGAGGCAGCAGUGGGGAAUAUGGCACAAUGGGCGAAAGCCUGAUGCAGCCAUGCCGCGUGUAUGAAGAAGGCUUUCGGGUUGUAAAGUACUGUCAGCGAGGAGGCGUUACUCGAAGAAGAAGCACCGGCUAACUCCGUGCCAGCAGCCGCGGUAAUUC